rnacentral:rRNA from 1 species
AUGCACGCUGGCGGCGUGCCUAAUACAUGCAAGUCGAGCGAACAGACGAGGAGCUUGCUCCUCUGACGUUAGCGGCGGACGGGUGAGUAACACGUGGAUAACCUACCUAUAAGACUGGGAUAACUUCGGGAAACCGGAGCUAAUACCGGAUAAUAUAUUGAACCGCAUGGUUCAAUAGUGAAAGACGGUUUUGCUGUCACUUAUAGAUGGAUCCGCGCCGCAUUAGCUAGUUGGUAAGGUAACGGCUUACCAAGGCAACGAUGCGUAGCCGACCUGAGAGGGUGAUCGGCCACACUGGAACUGAGACACGGUCCAGACUCCUACGGGAGGCAGCAGUAGGGAAUCUUCCGCAAUGGGCGAAAGCUUGACGGAGCAACGCCGCGUGAGUGAUGAAGGUCUGCGGAUCGUAAAACUCUGUUAUUAGGGAAGAACAAAUGUGUAAGUAACGAUGCACGUCUGGACGGUACCUAAGCAGAAAGCCACGGCUAACUACGU